UGUGAUUAUAGUGAGUGUGUGUUAGUGUGUGAUUAUAGUGAGUGUGUGUUAGUGUGUGAAUUAUAGUGAGUGUGUGUUAGUGUGUGAUUAUAGUGAGUGUGUGUUAGUGUGUGAUAUAGUGAGUGUGUGUUAGUGUGUGAUUAUAGUGAGUGUGUGUUAGUGUGUGAUUGUAGUGAGUGUGUGUUAGUGUGUGAUUAUAGUGAGUGUGUGUUAGUGUUUGAUUAUAGUGAGUGUGUUAGUGUGUGAUUAUAGUGAGUGUGGUUAGUGUUGUGUGUUAGUGUGUGAUUAUAGUGAGUGUGUUAGUGUGUGAUUAUAGUGAGUGUGUUAGUGUGUGAUUAUAGUGAGUGUGUUAGUGUGUGAUUAUAGUGAGUGUGUUAGUGUGUGAUUAUAGUGAGUGUGUGUUAGUGUGUGAUUAUAGUGAGUGUGUUAGUGUGUGAUUAUAGUGAGUGUGUGUUAGUGUGUGAUUGUAGUGAGUGUGUGUUAGUGUGUGAUUAUAGUGAGUGUGUGUUAGUGUGUGAUUAUAGUGAGUGUGUGUUAGUGUGUGAUUAUAGUGAGUGUGUUAGUGUGUGAUUAUAGUGAGUGUGUGUUAGUGUGUGAUUAUAAUGAGUGUGUUAGUGUGUGAUUAUAGUGAGUGUGUGUUAGUGUGUGAUUAUAGUGAGUGUGUGUUAGUGUGUGAUUAUAGUGAGUGGUUAGUGUGUGAUUAUAGUGAGUGUGUGUUAGUGUGUGAUUAUAGUGAGUGUGUGUUAGUGUGUGAUUAUAGUGAGUGUGUUAGUGUGUGAUUUAUAGUGAGUGUGUUAAUGUGUGAUUAUAGUGAGUGUGUGUUAGUGUGUGAUUAUAGUGAGUGUGUUAGUGUGUGAUUAUAGUGAGUGUGUUAGUGUGUGAUUAUAGUGAGUGUGUGUUAGUGUGUGAUUAUAGUGAGUGUGUGUUAGUGUGUGAUUUAUAGUGAGUGUGUUAGUGUGUGAUUAUAGUGAGUGUGUUAGUGUGUGAUUAUAGUGAGUGUGUGUUAGUGUGUGAUUAUAGUGAGUGUGUGUUUAGUGUGUG
ensembl:lncRNA